rnacentral:rRNA from 1 species
AGAACGAACGCUGGCGGCAGGCCUAACACAUGCAAGUCGAACGCGUGUAGCGAUACACGAGUGGCGGACGGGUGAGUAACGCGUGGAACCUGCCCUGGAGUGUGGGAUAACCGAGGGAAACUUCGGCUAAUACCGCAUACGACCUGAGGGUGAAAGAUUUAUCGCUCUAGGAGGGGCCCGCGUCGGAUUAGCUAGUUGGUGGGGUAAAGGCCUACCAAGGCAGUGAUCCGUAGCUGGUCUGAGAGGAUGAUCAGCCACACUGGGACUGAGACACGGCCCAGACUCCUACGGGAGGCAGCAGUGGGGAAUAUUGGACAAUGGGGGCAACCCUGAUCCAGCAAUGCCGCGUGAGUGAUGAAGGCCUUAGGGUUGUAAAGCUCUUUCGCGCGCGACGAUGAUGACGGUAGCGCGAGAAGAAGCCCCGGCUAACUUCGUGCCAGCAGCCGC